rnacentral:rRNA from 1 species
UGGGGAAUAUUGCACAAUGGGCGAAAGCCUGAUGCAGCAACGCCGCGUGAGUGAUGAAGGUCUUCGGAUUGUAAAGCUCUGUCUUUUGGGACGAUAAUGACGGUACCAAAGGAGGAAGCCACGGCUAACUACGUGCCAGCAGCCGCGGUAAUACGUAGGUGGCGAGCGUUGUCCGGAUUUACUGGGCGUAAAGGGUGCGUAGGCGGAUGUUUAAGUGAGAUGUGAAAUACCCGGGCUUAACUUGGGUGCUGCAUUUCAAACUGGAUAUCUAGAGUGCAGGAGAGGAGAAUGGAAUUCCUAGUGUAGCGGUGAAAUGCGUAGAGAUUAGGAAGAACACCAGUGGCGAGGGCGAUUCUCUGGACUGUAACUGACGCUGAGGCACGAAAGCGUGGGUAGCAAACAGGAUUAGAUACCCUGGUAGUCCACGCCGUAAAACGAUGAGUACUAGGUGUAGGAGGUAUCGACCCCUUCUGUGCCGCAGUAAACACAUUAAGUACUCCGCCUGGGAAGUACGAUCGCAAGAUUAAAAC